rnacentral:rRNA from 1 species
GACGAACGCUGGCGGCGCGCCUAAUACAUGCAAGUAGAACGCUGAAGAGAGGAGCUUGCUCUUCUUGGAUGAGUUGCGAACGGGUGAGUAACGCGUAGGUAACCUGCCUUGUAGCGGGGGAUAACUAUUGGAAACGAUAGCUAAUACCGCAUAACAAUGGAUGACACAUGUCAUUUAUUUGAAAGGGGCAAUUGCUCCACUACAAGAUGGACCUGCGUUGUAUUAGCUAGUAGGUGAGGUAACGGCUCACCUAGGCGACGAUACAUAGCCGACCUGAGAGGGUGAUCGGCCACACUGGGACUGAGACACGGCCCAGACUCCUACGGGAGGCAGCAGUAGGGAAUCUUCGGCAAUGGGGGCAACCCUGACCGAGCAACGCCGCGUGAGUGAAGAAGGUUUUCGGAUCGUAAAGCUCUGUUGUAAGUCAAGAACGAGUGUGAGAGUGGAAAGUUCACACUGUGACGGUAGCUUACCAGAAAGGGACGGCUAACUACGUG